rnacentral:rRNA from 1 species
AACGCGAAGAACCUUACCUACUCUUGACAUCCAGAGAAGCCAGCGGAGACGCAGGUGUGCCUUCGGGAGCUCUGAGACAGGUGCUGCAUGGCUGUCGUCAGCUCGUGUUGUGAGAUGUUGGGUUAAGUCCCGCAACGAGCGCAACCCUUAUCCUUGUUUGCCAGCGAGUAAUGUCGGGAACUCCAGGGAAACUGCCCGUGAUAAGCGGGAGGAAGGUGUGGAUGACGUCAAGUCCUCAUGGCCCUUACGGGUUGGGCUACACACGUGCUACAAUGGCAGUGACAAUGGGUUAAUCCCCAAAAACUGUCUCAGUUCGGAUUGGGGUCUGCAACUCGACCCCAUGAAGUCGGAAUCGCUAGUAAUCGCGUAACAGCAUGACGCGGUGAAUACGUUCCCGGGGUCUUGUACACACCG